GCUGGCGGCAUGCCUAACACAUGCAAGUCGAACGGAAGUAAGGGGCAACUCUUACUUUAGUGGCGGACGGGUGAGGAAUGCGUAGGAAUCUACCUUAGAGUGGGGGAUAACCCGGGGAAACCCGGGCUAAUACCGCAUACGUUCUACGGAGUAAAGGGGGCGCAAGCUCUCGCUUUAAGAUGAGCCUAUGUCGGAUUAUCUAGUUGGUGGGGUAAAUGCCCACCAAGGCAACGAUCCGUAGCUGGUCUGAGAGGAUGACCAGCCACACUGGGACUGAGAUACGGCCCAGACUCCUACGGGAGGCAGCAGUGGGGAAUAUUGGACAAUGGGCGAAAGCCUGAUCCAGCAAUGCCGCGUGUGUGAAGAAGGCCUUCGGGUUGUAAAGCACUUUCAGCGGGGAAGAAAAAUUCAGGACUAAUACUCCUGAGUAUUGACGCUACCCGCAGAAGAAGCACCGGCUAACUCUGUGCCAGCAGCCGCGGUAAUACAGAGGGUGCAAGCGUUAAUCGGAAUUACUGGGCGUAAAGCGUGCGUA
rnacentral:rRNA from 1 species